GAUAAGACUGCCGAUAUGAUAGAUCCUUAUUUAAAGAAAAUGGAUGCGAUGAAACCAGGUUUUUCAGCCAAAGCUAAGGACGUAAUUGAUGCGAUGCCUGGUAAAGUCAUGGAAAUGCUCGGUGAG